CUACGGGGCGCAGCAGUGGGGAAUAUUGCACAAUGGGGGAAACCCUGAUGCAGCAACGCCGCGUGGAGGAUGACACAUUUCGGUGCGUAAACUCCUUUUAUAGGUCAAGAUAAUGACGGUAGCCUAUGAAUAAGCGCCGGCUAACUCCGUGCCAGCAGCCGCGGUAAUACGGAGGGCGCAAGCGUUACUCGGAAUCACUGGGCGUAAAGAGCAUGUAGGCGGGUUAAUAAGUCAGAAGUGAAAUCCAAUAGCUCAACUAUUGAACUGCUUUUGAAACUGUUAACCUAGAGUGUGGGAGAGGUAGAUGGAAUUUCUGGUGUAGGGGUAAAAUCCGUAGAGAUCAGAAGGAAUACCGAUUGCGAAGGCGAUCUACUGGAACAUUACUGACGCUGAGAUGCGAAAGCGUGGGGAGCAAACAGGAUUAGAUACCCUCGUAGUC
rnacentral:rRNA from 1 species